rnacentral:tRNA from 1 species
GCCUGGGUGGCUUAGUCGGUUAAGCGGCUGACUUUGGCUCAGGUCAUGAUCUCAUGGUCCGUGGGUUCAAGCCCCGCGUCGGGCU